GGGGUUGUAGCUCAUCGGUAGAGCGUUCGCUUAGCAUCCGCUCGCCUGCGAAAGGUACUGGGUUCGAUACCCAGCUACUCCA